rnacentral:rRNA from 1 species
AGCGAACGUUGGCGGCGUGGAUUAGGCAUGCAAGUCGAGCGAGAACCGUAGCAAUACGGGGACAGCGGCGAAAGGGACAGUAAUGUGUAGGUACCUACCCCGAGGUCUGGGAUAGCUGCGGGAAACUGCAGGUAAUACCGGAUAAUGUCUUCGGACCAAAGGUGUGAUUCCACCUUGGGAGGGGCCUGCAUCCUAUUAGCUAGUUGGGGAGGUAACGGCUCACCAAGGCGACGAUGGGUAGCGGGUGUGAGAGCACGACCCGCGUCAUUGGGACUGAGACACUGCCCAGACACCUACGGGUGGCUGCAGUCGAGGAUCUUCGGCAAUGGGCGAAAGCCUGACCGAGCGACGCCGCGUGUGGGAUGAAGGCCUUCGGGUUGUAAACCGCUGUCGUAGAGGAGGAAAUGCAGGGGGGUUCUCCCUUCUGUUUGACCUAUUCUAGGAGGAAGUACGGGCUAAGUUCGUGCCAGCCGCCGCAGUAA